UACGGGAGUGGCAAGCGUUAUCCGGAAUUAUUGGGCGUAAAGCGUCCGCAGGCGGCCUCGUAAGUCUGUUGUCAAAACGUGGAGCUUAACUCCAUUUCGGCAAUGGAAACUGUGAGGCUGGAGUGUGGUAGGGGCAGAGGGAAUUCCCGGUGUAGCGGUGAAAUGCGUAGAUAUCGGGAAGAACACCAGUGGCGAAGGCGCUCUGCUGGGCCAUAACUGACGCUCAUGGACGAAAGCCAGGGGAGCGAAAGGG
rnacentral:rRNA from 1 species